rnacentral:rRNA from 1 species
CCUACGGGUGGCAGCAGUGGGGAAUAUUGCACAAUGGGGGAAACCCUGAUGCAGCGACGCCGCGUGAGUGAAGAAGUAUCUCGGUACGUAAAGCUCUAUCAGCAGGGAAGAAAAUGACGGUAACUGACUCAGAAGCCCCGGCUAACUCCGUGCCAGCAGCCGCGGUAAUACGUAGGGGGCAAGCGUUAUCCGGAUUUACUGGUUGUAAAGGGAGCGUAGACGGCAGCACAAGUCUGGAGGGAAAUCACGGGGCGUAACCCCGGAACUGCUUUGGAAACUGUGCGGCUGGAGUGCAGGAGGGGUGAGCGGAAUUCCGAGGGUAGCGGUGAAAUGCGGAGAUAUUAGGAGGAACACCGGGGGCGAAGGCGGCUUACUGGACUGUAACUGACGUUGAGGCUCGAAAGCGUGGGGAGCAAACAGGAUUAGAUACCCGAGUAGUC